rnacentral:rRNA from 1 species
UGGGGAAUAUUGCACAAUGGGCGCAAGCCUGAUGCAGCCAUGCCGCGUGUGUGAAGAAGGCCUUCGGGUUGUAAAGCACUUUCAGCGGGGAGGAAGGCGUUAAGGUUAAUAACCUUGGCGAUUGACGUUACCCGCAGAAGAAGCACCGGCUAACUCCGUGCCAGCAGCCGCGGUAAUACGGAGGGUGCAAGCGUUAAUCGGAAUUACUGGGCGUAAAGCGCACGCAGGCGGUUUCUUAAGUCUGAUGUGAAAGCCCCCGGCUCAACCGGGGAGGGUCAUUGGAAACUGGGAGACUUGAGUGCAGAAGAGGAGAGUGGAAUUCCAUGUGUAGCGAUGAAAUGCGUAGAUAUAUGGAGGAACACCAGUGGCGAAGGCGGCUCUCUGGUCUGUAACUGACGCUGAGGCUCGAAAGCGUGGGGAGCAAACAGG